UGCAAUGUACAAUUAUUCUAGCCUGGAAUCCAGCCGUACUGUGCGUUGGUCGCUCUGCUCCUGCCAGUACGUCUGGCAUUCGUUAGCAUUGGAACGAUCGGCAUUUGAAUAUUCGCACACUUUAUGUGCGCGAUUUCUGAUUGGCUGUUGGCUCCAAGCCCCCUUCGCAAAGCACCACCAAGGUGGAAAUCGAACACACAGAAUCAUGUUUACAGUUCGUAAUCAAACGGAACACUACUUCUAUCUUUCCCGCAUUAGUGACGUAAGGACCGAUCGUUCCAAUGCUAACGAAUGCCAGACGUGUUCGCAAGGAAGCAGAGCGACCAAAGCACAACACGGCUGGAUUCCAGGCUACGGUCAGUCUAGGUCCUCAACUAAUAUGAUAUGUUAAUGAUAUUUUGUCCCAUUUGACCUGAUCUGUUUUCUUGCUCCUUACUUGCUUUUAUGUACAUUGUAGAAGCACAUCUUGACUUUUGAAAUAGUCCAUCUGCUACUAACUGGAAUAAGUGACGAAGUGAAUCAAUGGUAUUGUGAAAUGUCUGCAUUCUCCUCUGAGGAAAAAAUGUGGGAUCAUCUAAUCCCCUAGGCUACUCUUUCCUUGAUUUUUGCAUGCCAAGCUCUUUAGUCUGAGUGCCAAGACUUGACUGUCAUAUCAUAAAACUUAUGUGAAAAUGUGACAGUCUCUACUACAGAACUGUACAAUGUAUCUCAUACAACAUACAUUCUUCAAGCAAAUAUACAGACAGUGAGUCACUGAUUAAAUUUUUCUUCAGGUUUAUAGAAUUUAGAUCUAUUCUUUCUUAAACUGACCUUAACUUCUUGCAACAUAUUCCUAAUGUUUGUUUUAGGACCUUGGCUUAGUAAAUACUUUAGGUUUGCAGUUCCUUAAAACUUAAAGAUGUCGGACUGUAGCUGAGGUGAUAUCUUCUUCCGUUAUUUUGACAUAAAAUUUCUUUUCAUUAUGUGGGAUACUGUAAUACUAGUUU